AGUGAACGCUGGCGGUAGGCCUAACACAUGCAAGUCGAACGGCAGCACAGUAAGAUCUUGCACUAACGGGGGGCGAGUGGCGGACGUGAGAGGAAGACAUCGGAAUCUACAUUUUCGUGGGGGAUAAGGUAGGGAAACUUACGCUAAUACAGCAUACUACCUCCGGGUGAAAGCAGGGGAACUUCUGUCCUUGCGGGAUUGGAUGAGCCCGUGUCGGAUUAGCUGGUUGGCGGGGGGAUGGCCCACCAAGGCGACGACCGGUAGCUGGCCUGAGAGGGUGAUCGGCCACAUUGGGACUGAGAUACGGCCCAGACUCCUACGGGAGGCAGCAGUGGGGAAUAUUGCACAAUGGGCGGAAGCCUGAUGCAGCGACGCCGCGUGAGGGAUGACGGCCUUCGGGUUGUAAACCUCUUUCAGCAGGGACGAAGCGUAAGUGACGGUACCUGCAGAAGAAGCACCGGCUAACUAUGUG
rnacentral:rRNA from 1 species